UCUCCUUGCCAACCAGCAGCUCCCUUGGUAGGGGCAUGCAGAAGACCUGAUGACACAAACCCUCCAAAGAGUUUCACCCUCACCACAACAGGUGGCUUCCUGCUCGGCAGCCCAUCCUGCAUCACUUCAGUGGACUUCUCUGACAUCUACUAGACCACAUUAAAUGAAUCACAGCCUUGAAACUGAACUGGAAGGACUUCCUUCAAGGAGCCAGCAUAUGAACUUGCUGCCUAUCUUUAGCAAGGAGAUGCAAAUGACAUCCACAAACCUCUUCUGCUGUAUACCUGGAUGAAAGCAAGGCUAGCUGUGUGUCCUAUGGCACCAAGGACUGAAAGAUUGUAAGAAGUAAGAUGACCUACAUCCAAAGUGAAAAGUUAUUCAGCCUCUGAAGAGAAGCAUUUUGUUUGGGGAUCUUCAAGUAUGCUUGUCAGCACCGAGAACUGGAAAAAAAUCUCUGAUUGUCCUGCAGCAAUGGCAUUAAAGGCUCCUCAUAACAUACAGAACCAGAAUUGUGCCAUAAUUUACUGAAAUUGAACAUUGCUCUGUGACUGCUAAUUUUCCAUCGAGAUGAUUCUGUCUCUAACCAAGAAAAGAAAAGUUUGUCUUCCUGACUGCUGACACUGCUGACCAAGCCCACCACCAGAUGCCUGGCUGCACACCCAGAGGGCAGCCGCUUCCCGUGGUCCUCUCGAAGAACUUCCCUUUUGCAAUGCAUGUUUAGCAAGUGGAUGAGUUUGUCUUUUCUGAUUUCUCUGCAAGCUCUGCAUUGCCCACCUGAACCAGUGCUUCAGAAGAACUAAUGGGAUCUCUGACCCUCCAACAUCCUCUUCCAGACUUUCACUUUCCUGGCUCCUUGCAGGGACAUGUAAUAAACGUGCUCUCCAGAGAAAGCCUGAUUUGUAGCCUUUACUGAUUUUGUGGUAUAAAUACUCCCUGCUUUCAAGCUCACCAACAUUAAAUCCCUGAACACAGAGUUAGGAAAAAAAGGCCCA
rnacentral:lncRNA from 1 species